rnacentral:rRNA from 1 species
CCUACGGGAGGCAGCAGUGAGGAAUAUUGGACAAUGGGCGCAAGCCUGAUCCAGCCAUGCCGCGUGCAGGAAGACGGUCCUAUGGAUUGUAAACUGCUUUUGUACAGGAAGAAACACUCCCUCGUGAGGGAGCUUGACGGUACUGUAAGAAUAAGGAUCGGCUAACUCCGUGCCAGCAGCCGCGGUAAUACGGAGGAUCCAAGCGUUAUCCGGAAUCAUUGGGUUUAAAGGGUCCGUAGGCGGUUUAAUAAGUCAGUGGUGAAAUCUGGUCGCUCAACGAUCAAACGGCCAUUGAUACUGUUAGACUUGAAUUAUUAGGAAGUAACUAGAAUAUGUAGUGUAGCGGUGAAAUGCUUAGAUAUUACAUGGAAUACCAAUUGCGAAGGCAGGUUACUACUAAUGGAUUGACGCUGAUGGACGAAAGCGUGGGGAGCGAACAGGAUUAGAUACCCUGGUAGUCCACGCCGUAAACGAUGGAUACUAGCUGUUGGGCGCAAGUUCAGUGGCUAAGCGAAAGUGAUAAGUAUCCCACCGNGGAGGUAAGUUCGUCGAGAAGUAGAAAGUUAAAGUAAGUUAGAGGCGNGAGAGNGCGACGGACGACGACGAGGGAGGAGG